GACAGGGGAUACAAGCGUUACUCGGAAUUACUGGGCGUAAAGCGUCUGUAGGUGUCCAAGAAAGUCUGGGGUAAAAACUCGAGGCUCAACCUCGAGACGCCGGUGGAAACCGUAAAGCUAGAGUCCGGAAGAGGAGAGUGGAAUUCCUGGUGUAGCGGUGAAAUGCGCAGAUAUCAGGAAGAACACCCGUGGCGAAGGCGGCUCUCUGGGACGGUACUGACGCUGAGACGCGAAAGCGUGGGGAGCGAACAGG
rnacentral:rRNA from 1 species